rnacentral:rRNA from 1 species
GAUGAACGCUGGCGGCGUGCUUAACACAUGCAAGUCGAACGAAGAUGCCGGAGUGCUUGCACUUUGGCAGACUGAGUGGCGGACGGGUGAGUAACGCGUGGGUAACCUGCCUUAUACAGGGGGAUAACAGUUGGAAACGACUGCUAAUACCGCAUAAGCGCACGGUAUCGCAUGAUACAGUGUGAAAAACUCCGGUGGUAUAAGAUGGACCCGCGUCUGAUUAGCUUGUUGGUGAGGUAACGGCCCACCAAGGCGACGAUCAGUAGCCGGCCUGAGAGGGUGAACGGCCACAUUGGGACUGAGACACGGCCCAAAACUCCUACGGGAGGCAGCAGUGGGGAAUAUUGCACAAUGGGGGAAACCCUGAUGCAGCGACGCCGCGUGAGUGAUGAAGUAUUUCGGUAUGUAAAACUCUAUCAGCAGGGAAGAUAAAUGAACGGUACCUGACUAAGAAGCACCGGCUAAAUACGUG